rnacentral:rRNA from 1 species
UACGUAGGUGGCAAGCGUUGUCCGGAUUUACUGGGCGUAAAGAGCGCGCAGGCGGUCGUUCAAGUCGCGUGUGAAAGCCCCCGGCUCAACUGGGGAGGGUCACGCGAUACUGAUCGACUGGAAGGCAGGAGAGGGUAGUGGAAUUCCCGGUGUAGUGGUGAAAUGCGUAGAGUAUCGGGAGGAACACCAGUGGCGAAGGCGACUACCUGGCCUGUUCUGACGCUGAGGCGCGAAAGCUAGGGGAGCAAACGGG